rnacentral:rRNA from 1 species
CCUACGGGUGGCAGCAGUGGGGAAUAUUGCACAAUGGGGGAAACCCUGAUGCAGCGACGCCGCGUGAGUGAAGAAGUAUCUCGGUACGUAAAGCUCUAUCAGCAGGGAAGAUAAUGACGGUACCUGACCAAGAAGCCCCGGCUAACUACGUGCCAGCAGCCGCGGUAAUACGUAGGGGGCAAGCGUUAUCCGGAUUUACUGGGUGUAAAGGGAGCGUAGACGGCAGGACAAGUCUGGAGUGAAAUCCCGGGGCUUAACCCCGGCACUGCAGUGGGAACUGGCCGGCUGGAGUGCAGGGAGGGCAGGCGGAAUUCGUAGUGUAGCGGUGAAAUGCGUAGAUAUGACGAAGAACCCCGAUGGCGAAGGCAGCUUGCUGCAGCGGAACUGACGCUGAUGCUCGAAAGCGUGGGUAGCGAACAGGAUUAGAUACCCCUGUAGUC